CUGCAGUGUCUAUGGGGAUUUUAAAUUAGGUGCUUUUUCUAAGCAUGGGUAAGUAAUCCGAUAAUAAAAAGCACUGGCAGAGGAGAUGUUUUAAGUGGCUCUGUCACUUCUCAAUAUUUCUAAAAGAUAUUAUCUUUGUGAAAUACUGAUGUUGACUGCAUUUGCAUUUGAAUUCCAACACAAGCCAUAGACACCAUAAGAC